rnacentral:rRNA from 1 species
UACAGAGGGGGCAAGCGUUGUUCGGAAUUACUGGGCGUAAAGGGCGCGUAGGCGGCCUGCUAAGUCGAACGUGAAAUCCCCGAGCUCAACUCGGGAACUGCGUCCGAUACUGGCAGGCUUGAAUCCGGGAGAGGGAUGCCGGAAUUCCAGGUGUAGCGGUGAAAUGCGUAGAUAUCUGGAGGAACACCGGUGGCGAAGGCGGCAUCCUGGACCGACACUGACGCUGAGGAGCGAAAGCCAGGGGA